rnacentral:rRNA from 1 species
UACAGAGGUGGCAAGCGUUGUUCGGAAUUACUGGGCGUAAAGGGCGCGUAGGCGGCCUUCUAAGUCAGACGUGAAAUCCCCCGGCUUAACCUGGGAACUGCGUCUGAUACUGGAGGGCUUGAGUGCGGGAGAGGGAUGUGGAAUUCCAGGUGUAGCGGUGAAAUGCGUAGAUAUCUGGAGGAACACCGGUGGCGAAGGCGGCAUCCUGGACCGCCACUGACGCUGAGACACGAAAGCGUGGGUAGCAAACAGG